UCGCAUGUGUAUUUGGGUUGGAAUCCACUUAAAAAUGAAGUGGGCUCAUUCUGCAUAGAGGGAAGCCGGCGCUUUGAGAAGAGAUCCAGACACGAUGAAGAUCCAGUCCCCAAGCCAAGGAGCUCCAGGAGUUGUAGGGGAAGGCAGAUGAGUAGUUAGUACUGGAAAAAUACCACAGCCUGAUGGCUGGGAGUUUGCUCUGGACAAGAGGAGAAUAAACCUCUAUACAGAUUCUCUUUCUAUUACUGAGACUAGUGGGAGAGGGAGCCCUGCCUGGAAAUUUGAUUUGGCCCAAGAAUAAUUCCCCACAAAAGCCGGAUCGGUUACAAAGGGGAGAAGGACGGUUUUAUGGAGCAAUCUGACCGAUGCCAACUUUCCCAGGUGAUUUAGGUUGGCGUCACCGGCAGUGGGACAGGAUGACAUCGUUCCCUGGUGUGAUGCUUGAGAAGAGCACAGCGCCCCGUCUGAGGUUUACGGAAGGCAAAGACCCAAGGGCGCCGGUCCCACCCCCAUGCACCGCAAAUACUCAGGUGCUUUCCCUUCGCCCCACGCUAUGAAGUAGGUCCAGCUAUCAAGCCGCAUGAGGAGUUGACAUCUGUUAAGUGACUUCCCGGAAGCCCCAGGACGAAGCCGGAGGAAGAAGGAUUCUAAGCCAGUGAGGCAUCAUGACAAAACCUGACCUUCACACACUUGGCCAUGAGCUUCAACACGGCACUGAGGAUAGAAGCCAGAGCUCAGUGUCUGGAAAAGAGACGGAAGCAGGGGGACGCCCGGGUGGCUCAGUCGGUUAAGCA